rnacentral:lncRNA from 1 species
UAAUGAUUUAAUGCCUGCUAUGCCCAGGCACUGUUCUGGGAAUUGAAGAUAAAAUGGCAAAUAAGAAAGACAAAGUCUUUGCUCUCAUAAAGCUUGUAUUCUAGCUGUAGGAGGCAGACAAUAAACGAGAGAAUUUCAGAGAGUGUUUAAGGCUAUGAAGAAAACAAAAUCAGGCGAAAGUGACGGGAAACAUAAAUUGGUAGUGAGAGCAGCCUCUUUAAAGAGAUUCCCUUAAAAGACAAGGAGUCAGCCAUGCAAAGAUCUGAGGACAACCAUCCCAGGCAUGAAGAGCAAGGAUGAAGGCCCUGGGGAGCGAAUGAGCUUAGUGUAUUUGGAAAAUUCAAAGGAUAGUGUUGGCAGGAGUUGGGGGGAGGACAAGGAGGAGGAGGAGGAAGAGGAGGAGAAAAGAGCUUCCUGUAGCACCUAGAAUCACCAUUUGGUUCAUCCUGCUGUGACUGUGCCCACCUGCCCACACUCCUGCCCCACAGAUGGUGACUUGUUCUUGGAACUCUUCCCUGUUUCUCUCACCCAGUCCAUGAGACAUAUUGGCAAAUAUCUCAACCACAACUGUAGAGAGGGUUCAAGUUAUUUCCUAUGGGUCUCCUAGCCUCAAGAAAAUCAGUGGAUGUGGGUAGGUCCCUUAAGUUUUCCUGAACAUUUCAUGGAAUUUAUGAAUAUUCUGCGAAAGGUAGAAGCCUGCUCUACAUAGACCUCACAAAGGACUUCUAGUGGUCUCACUUAACUCCUUGCCCUGUCCUAUCUGCACCCCAACUCCAUCCCUGCCAAAACAUUCUGUAAAAGUGGGGCAUUUUAUACCAGCAGGAGCUGACAAGCAUCACAAAAAGCUUUUUAUGUGAUAUAGCAAGCUUCCUGACACCAUAGAUGCUCCAAGAGAGGUGCAUUUGGUAAAAAUCAAACACAACUGCACACUAUUGGAGGAGAAAAAACAGAGAAUGUAAUGCUUUAAAUGAUUUGGGCCACUUGCUACUCCAUUCAAUGCAUGCAUGUGCCUGAGUGAGCAUGAGAUGAGCCUCUCAGCUCCCUUACUCCAUCACAUGAUGAAGAUUUUGUACUUGCAUGUCAGAGCAAACCAAGGGUUUAUCUGCUACUCAACUGAGGAAACAUUGCUCUCUUCCAAUGCUGGAGGGAAACUAGAAGGGCUAGACUUAUUGAUACAUGCCAAUUCGUUUCUAUUCCUCACUUACAGGAAUAUUGGGGGUAGGGUGUUUAGAUAAGGCUAGGUUGAAGCUGGUAUCUGGGUUAUAUCUUACGUAUAAUUUCAAAGGACUAAUUUUGACUUAUGUGAUGUUUGCUUUCCAUGGCUCUUCUUGUAUCUAGCCCUGUAGUCCCAUCCUAAUGGGACUCUGCCAUACUCAAAUAUUUUCUUUCAUUUUCAUUCUGAAUGUAUACCCCAGUGGGUUUUCAUUUUUCUUUUUCUCUUCCCACACCACCCCUUUGUUUUCUUGAUUUACCUUACCCUCAUUCCUUUCAUUCUUUGCUGCUUCCUCUUUUAUUGAGAAAGGAGAAUGAGACAAAACAAGCCACAACAUAAGCUUGCACAUACACACCCCAGCACUCCUGCCUCUGCUCUUUUUCCCUUCUUUUGAGACAGGGUCUCACUUUGUCGCCCAGGCUGGGUGCACUGGCACAAUCUUCACUCACUGCAGCCUCAACUUCUCCAGCUCAAGAGAUCCUCCUGCCUCAGCCUCCUGAGUAGCUGGGUCUACAGCACAUCUCCAUUCAGAAUAGCCACAUUUCAAGUACUUCAUAGCUACACACGGCUAAGUAGCCACCAACUACACAGCAGAGUGCAAGAAGAUGUCAGGGAACAAGGUAGAAGGAGCCUGGUUCCUGGAUGGCCUUAUGGAGCAAAGCCUCCCAUCAUGCUGGAUCUCCCAUUUACCUCUUGUUUAAAACACUGUGUUUUGGAUUCUGUUAGUAACAUGAGCUUAGCCUGUACUAUGACUAAUAUAACAUGGAAUGCUGGGAAAAAAUCAAAACACCCUCAUUUUACAGAUGGAGAAAUUGGCUCAGAGAGGUGAAGUGGCUUCCUGAGAUCACACAGUGAAUAUGUGACCAAGGAGGACCUGAAACCAACCCACCCAACAUCAAAGCCUGUGCGCUUUCCACCAGGCUGAGGUGUCCACCCCUGUGGUCAGUGUGUGUCUCAGUGUGGGACAAAGGAAAAACCAUGCAGCUUUGGAGGUCUCCAAACCUCCCAGUUUAGGAUAAACCCCUCAAUUAUGCUUGAAGUUGGACCAGCUUUUGAAACCUCUACUGGACAUUCUUUUCCCAUCAAGUUCCUUGAAAUGUC